UACAGAGGUCCCAAGCGUUGUUCGGAUUCACUGGGCGUAAAGGGUGCGUAGGUGGCCGGGUAAGUCUGACGUGAAAUCUCCGAGCCUAACUCGGAAACUGCAUCGGAUACUGUCCGGCUUGAGGAUUGGAGGGGGGACUGGAAUACGUGGUGUAGCAGUGAAAUGCUUAGAUAUCAAGUGGAACACCAGUGGCGAAGGCGAGUCCCUGGACAAUACCUGACACUGAGGCACGAAAGCUAGGGGAGCAAACAGG
rnacentral:rRNA from 1 species